GGUGGCAGGCAGCUAAAGUUACUCAAGUGUCAACACAACGGCCAGCUCUUGGAGCUGCGUGAGCCAUCCUCGAUAGAGCUCCGUGUCACUUUACAGGCCUCCCAGCCCAGCAGCCAGGGGACACUCACCUGAAAUGCUUUCUACAUGCCCAGUGGACCUGGUCUGAGUGUAGGGUAUGGUAUUAUCGGCACAUGGAUCAAGGCUGUCGGAUCAGCAAAUGGGCCAAGAUCUCACUACCCAGGCUGUAUGUGGCAUCAGCACAGGGGCCGUGACAUCGGCACACAGUGCUUCCCUGGGAAAUCACUCUCCAGCGUUGAGCCAUGGCCGAAGCUUUAAAGGCAAUGGGAAACACCCUCCUCAGGGAGCCUGUGUGGCUUCUUUGCUGUCCCCUGCCUGAACAUCACUGACCAGCUGCGUGGCCAUGGAUAAAGCCCUUAGGUUCCUUCUCCCUGGGCACCGCAUGCAUGAGCCUCCCUGUCCUAGCACUGAACACGUUACCCUUACACUAUCCCACCUCUCUCCCUGGCUCACCUCUGAAUCCCCAACACGAAGCCAACUUUCCACACGUUUGUUGAAUGAAUAACUGUGAGCUCUGCAAGUGCAAAAAUUGUAUUGUAUUCUGCUUUAUAUCUUUAGGGUCUAGCAUCAGGCCUGAGGGCACAGUGCAUACUUGGUUUGUGUACAAAGAAGAAAAGAGAGCGCAGGGGAGGGAGUUAGAAACGUUCAUCCCUCUUUGUACGCCGCCCUCCUAUACUUGGUGUAUGCGCUCAGUAAAUCAAUUAAAGUCACUGUGAAUCAAUGAUGAUCAACGGAUGAAUGAACCUCACCAGUUGAGCAAAGAGGCUGGACCAGAUGUUUGCACAAGUGCCAACCAAUCCUGAAGAAAUCCAUCUCAGGGUGAUGCCGUGCAAGUGGCUGGCCCCAUGGCCUGUGGGCUCUAAGCCAGGACGGACGGAUGACCCAUCCCCUUAGGGCUCUCUGCCCCGGCGCCCGGCCCCUGUCCCAUCCUCCAUAGCUCAUGCCCACUUACUUCUGACAUAAAGCCAGGCAUCCAACAGCAAGGGUUCCCAGUUGAAGCGGGCUUUUUUGUUUGAGACGGAGUUUCACUCUUGUUGCCCAGGCUGGAGUGCAGUGGCGUGAUCUCGGCUCACUGCAACCUCCUCCUCCCGGGUUCAAGCGAUUCUCCUGCCUCAGCCUCCCGAGUAGCUGGGAUUACAGGCACGCACCAUGAUGCCCGGCUAAUUUUGUAUUUUUAGUAGAGACAAGGUUCCUCCAUGUUGGUCAGGCUGUUCUCAAACUCCUGGCCUCAGGUGAUCCACCUGCCUCAGCCUCCCAAAGUGCUGGGACUACAGGCAUGAGCCACCAUGCCUGGCCUAAAAACCAUCUAUGGUUUUUAAUUUUCCUUCCACUAAUGUACCAUUUGCUUUUUUCACAGGAAGACAGCUGGCCCAGUGACCCUAAGAAGUGGAUUGCAGAAGUGGGGGUACCUCCCAGGUUCUCCAGGUUUGUCUUCAGAGUGUUGUAGGCAGCCGUUCGGGACUUCAGGUCCAUCUCGAUCUGCGCCAGUUGCUGUUUUGGGAAAGCAAAAGCUCCAGGUGACCUUGAGCAUUGAAGGAGUUGGCUGAACUUUUUGAAAUGGCCACAACAGCUCAUGGUGCUUUCAAGAAAAAUAACUGCCCUGCCCAUUUGCCGGGAUGACUUCUGUUUACCAGCAUUUGGCGCUUCCAGGGAGUCUUGGAUUCCAGGCGCCAAGCCAUGAUGGAUUUUCUAGGAUGACUCAGUGAGCCCAACCUUUCCUGAUUUCAAGCCCAUCCUGAACGGUCGGGACAUCCCACGCCCACAGCUACCCUCUCAGGCUCUGCUGGAGGGCAGCUCAGGCUGACCCCCAAUCGUUGCUUCCAGGGGUACCCAACAUGGCCUGGCCCUCUCAAAUGCCCAUGUCUCCUGGCUCGGCUGUGCCAAUCUCCCUUGCAUGGAUUGGCAGGGGCAGGGAGGUGCAGUGCACAGAAACAAGACAGGCCUGGGCGCAAGCCACGCCCUCCUGCUUUCUGGCCGACUGGCUCAGGUUCCCCAUUUGUUCCACAGCGGGGAUAAUGCCAGUGCUGAGAGCCGACUGUGCCAGGCUCCUUCACAUUCCCUCCUCGCAGCCCCAUGUGGUGACACCCCACCAGCUUGGACAACCAGCCACGGCAGGAGCAUUUACACCACGGCCAUCCACAAAUGCUACAGGCCAGCACACGGCUGGUGACAGGAGAAUCUCGAGAGUCAAUAGAUGAAGAAAAUGGGUGCUCCAUAGAAUGCCAACAGCUUUAGUCUAAAUAUACACAUUUUUAUAUAUGGAAGAAUCCAUUGUCAACUUUUAAACAUUGGUUACCUUUUGGGAGAAUAAAGGGAAUGGGGGCGAUGAUCACA